rnacentral:lncRNA from 1 species
UUAAGAUUUAGGAUUUGAAAGAAGGAUUUAGGAUUUAAGAUUUGAAAUAAGAUUUAGGAUUUUCAAAAGGGAUGUGAUUGUCGUUGUACUUAUUCUACAAUUCUUUUUAGAAUAAACUUAUAUAGGAGAAUUCGAACACAAGGAAAGACUAAGCGCAUGAGUUUUACUUGUUAGGAUCACACAAUUAACCAUAUUUUGAGCCACUAAAACACCUUGAAACAUUACAAUACUUUCUGCCUGUAAUAAUAUUCCUUCAUCAACUGAUAACAACAGUGUGCAACCUUGCAUUCUCAAAAGACCACUCAAAACACAUAAUUUCUAUCCAACACCAGAAAUAACAAACUUCACUUCAACCAAUCUAAAUUCACAUAAUUUUUGUAAUCAAAGACCAUCAAAAUAUACACAACUCUCAAUAAACAACAAUCAUAAUCUUUUAAUAACUCUGCAUAUAAUUCAAUCACUCAUUGCUCUAAUUAUAUAAUCAAUUACUUAUAAAUCAAUCUCUGAUUUAUUCGACACACUCACUUCUGAGUAUUCAGAAACUAUCCAUUACUUUUCAACAACAAAGAAAUAAAGAGACAAAGAAGUAGCACCAAGUUUAUCUCGGCUCAUGACUAUCACAGUCUGGCCCUCAGACUAACUUCUACAAUUCCUAUAUACUUACUCCCUAUUCUCAUAUUCCAAUCGUAAUCUUGUAAUUAACCACUUUUUAUAACUAAGUUAACCAUCUGUCCUCCUGAUUUGACUAUUUUAUAGACUAUUAGUCUAUUUUAUCAAUAUCUUACAGAAACAAACAUAUAUCUAUUCUACAUAGCCUCACUCCUAUCUGUGCAGCAUCCUCGCAAACAUACAAUUGUUACUUAUUUAAAAACUACUUAAGAAAACUCUACAUAGUUAUUAUUUUCUCUGGCCUACUCAAUUGAUCAUUUGCUGCAUUAUCUAAUGUGGAUUCUACCAAUUCUGGCUCUAAAUUCAAAUCUUCCUCUUCUUCCAAUCCGUCCAUUGACUCCUUUCUCAAUUGGUUUGAAAGAUCUUCAUUAUACUCUCCCAAUUCAUGGACUUGAGCUUCCAGUUUCAAGAUCUGGGCAUCACAAAGUUCCAACUGAUGUUGCUGCUGACUCAUCCAUUCUGAAACAUCUUCAAUUGAUGCUUCUAACCGACCC